UGGGAAACUCUGAAGUUUGUUAUGUCGUGACUGAUGUAACUAGCCAAACAAAACCACUACUGAUUUAGUUAUAAUAUAGUAGAAGGUUCUACACACAUGAUCUUGACUUUUCUUGUUUGUGAACUGUCGUUAUUUUAUCAUUACUUUCAUGUCAUUGGUGUCAUGUUCAAGUGUCAAGGCAAUUUUAUAUGCUCCAAAGAUGAGAUGCAUCAGGUUUUCUGUUUGUUACUGUUACUAGGUGGGAAGGCGAAAAUCAGCCUGCAAAUGAGAAGGGUAAGCUGUGUUGCACGGAAAGCCCCAAGUUUUAGUGGUCCACUAAUGCUUUCAAACCAAGCUUCUGCAAACAGUUUAUCCUUUUGACUGAGCUGGAAAGGGAGAGGACUGCUAGGUCAGAUUUGGAAAGGGCUGCCCAUGUUGAUUUAUUAGACAUCAAAACAGAGAUUUUUCCCUUCAUUUCUUAGGUAAUGUGAUGAAGAACUUUGGAAAGGGAUUAGUUUCAUUCAGUUGUGAAAAACUUGAACUAUCAGUAAAGAAAAAUUCAGAUCAUACAAGCCUUCUGAAGACAUGACCUUUGAUGUGCAUUAGCUCUGCCAUCGCCAUACAUAUCAUGUUAAGCUGUCAAUUGUGCCCUUCCUUUUUGAUCUUUCUAUUCUAUGUUAUUCAUUUCCCUGGGCACUUAUAUGGCUCUCAUGACAGUUAUAUUCUUUUGGGAAGCUUAUGAGACUAAUUCUUUUACGGUAACCUCUCACUCUCCUUAUUGCAGUAACCAGCAUUUUACACUAGCAUGUGUUUGAUGCUUCAUUACAGUUUCUUUUUUCAUAAUAAAAGUCUCCGUUAUAGCGUUUGGUUGCAUCAGUGAUUGACUUGAUCCUUGCAAUCAUGGUAGCAAGUGUUUGUUGUGAUCAGCUAACAUCUGAUCAUGUAUAUCCUCCACGGGAGUGUUGAUUUUGCAAGAAUCUGUAAGGGCAGGUCUAGCAACCAGCAGAAUGGAAGUACUUUCUGCAUAAGUUUUAUUAUGCUAUAUUUCCAUGAAGGUUU